rnacentral:rRNA from 1 species
GGCAUGCCUAACACAUGCAAGUCGAGCGAGAAGGUUCUACAGAUUCUUCGGAUGACGAUGGAACCGGAAAGCGGCGGACGGGUGAGUAACGCGUGGGUAACCUGCCCUAUGGAGGGGGAUAACACAGUGAAAACUGUGCUAAUACCGCAUAAGCGCACGGUGUCGCAUGACACAGUGUGAAAAACUCCGGUGCCAUAGGAUGGACCCGCGUCAGAUUAGCUAGUUGGUGAGAUAAAAGCUCACCAAGGCGACGAUCUGUAGCCGACCUGAGAGGGUGAUCGGCCACAUUGGGACUGAGACACGGGCCAAACUCCUACGGGAGGCAGCAGUGGGGGAUAUUGCACAAUGGGGGAAACCCUGAUGCAGCAAUGCCGCGUGAAGGAAGAAGGUCUUCGGAUCGUAAACUUCUAUCAGCAGGGAAGAAAAUGACUGUACCUGACUAAGAAGCCCCGGCUAACUACGUGCCAGCAGCCGCGGUAAUACGUAGGGGGCAAGCGUUAUCCGGAAUUACUGGGUGUAAAGGGUACGUAGGCGGCAUGGCAAGUCAGAUGUGAAAGCCCGGGGCUCAACUCCGGGACUGCAUUUGAAACUGUCAAGCUAGAGUACAGGAGAGGAAAGCGGAAUUCCUAGUGUAGCGGUGAAAUGCGUAGAUAUUAGGAAGAACACCAGUGGCGAAGGCGGCUUUCUGGACUGUAACUGACGCUGAGGUACGAAAGCGUGGGGAGCGAACAGGAUUAGAUACCCUGGUAGUCCACGCUGUAAACGAUGAAUGCU